ensembl:lncRNA
UUAUUGAUUCAUUAUUAACACUUUAUUAAUGCUUUAUUAAUGCUUGCCGGCAUAUAUAUUGAAAUAUCCUCAAGUAAUUGUUUGCAAAACAUUGAAACAGUGGAAGAGUAUUUAUACUACACAUACAGUGAAACAAAAUGAGUUGCCCAUGGGGGGAGAAAAUUCUAAUAAUUUUGUCCAGAGACAGGCUUGUCAAAAACACUCUAGUCCUCUCCAGAAGAUAGAAUAAACAUUUUUGGACCAGUACAUUGGUGUGAAAACACUUCUAAACAUAACCAACAUUUUCAGACAUAGUGACAGGAGCAAUUAUGAUUAUCAACCUUGCUUAAGUACAAAAUUACAAAUGUUUCCUGGCUUGAGAUUUCAACUAAUAGGCUAUCUGGUUACUGGUCUGGUUACUGGCCAGAUGUUCUAAUCACUAGCCAGUGUGGUUACUGAUUAAAUACUCUAACCCACAGGCAAUCUGGUUACUGGUCAGAUAGGCUGCGAGUUAAAGUAUCUAGUUACUGGUCAGAAAGGCUGUGAAUUAAAGUAUCUAGUUACUGGUCAGAUGUUUUGCCACUGAGACUUUCAAAAAUAGAUAUGGUGAACCUGAUUAAACAAAUAAUACAAAAUUAAUUGUCCAUUCUUAAUUGAUCAAAUUGACUCAACAUCCAAUGUAUUUUUGAAAAGGGUGUAGACCUCUACAUUAACCAGCCAGAUUAAAGAUUAAAGUAACAUUUUCGAAAGAUAAAGUGCACGAUUUCUGGCAACAGGUUGUCAAAUUGCCACUGUCGAGCCAAGAAUUGUCCGUGAACAUUUUCUACUAUUGUCAUGUACUUGCUGAUUUGUGCCCCAUGUCAUCAAGAUCAUUUCAAACUUGGAAUGUAAAAGCUAACUGAGGCAUGGUAGGAAUUCUUCUACAAAUUACACACAUAUAAACAACAUAUUACAUGCUUUUUGUUAAUCGCAAAACUCCCAGACUGAAUCUUAAGGGGAGGGUCUGUAACCUUCUCACUUAUAUUUAUUCACAAUAUUUUGAUGAUCCUUAACCAUGGUGUCAUCUAUAAAAGGUUUUUUAAGUAUUCAGAAACAUCUUCAGUGUUCAGUGAUUCCAAAAUGGCAAAAUAAAUGUUUCAACAUUCAGUUCAGCUUGAUAUCGUAAUUGCACAAAACAAAUAUGGGACAAACAUAGGACUAAUCGUAUUUAGCUGAUUCAUUUAGAGAUUCAAACACUAUGCAGGACAGUUGUUUUUUAUUCAACAUUUAUAUGAAAUACAGAAAAUAACAUAUUCAACUAAGAAAUUCCGAAAAUGGUAUUCUCUAAAUUUCUCUUAAAACUGUACCCCAUUUCAGCCACACAAAACAAAUCUAGAUUUAUGGCAUUUGUAAAUGAGCUAGUGACAGCAUUUUCUAGAUCUUACACAAUGUUAUAGCUAAACCUUCCUUACGUAGGGAAGACGAGCUUUACAGAAAACAUCCCUGUUCAAAGUGUGAACUGGCGGUGCAGCUCACCCCCCUCCCCGCCCUCUCAGGCCAGGCCGCCUCCGUGUUUGCUCAUCUAAUUACAGGGGAGUGGCUGACUGACGGGCCAGCCGUCCCAAAAAAACCCUCCAGGCUAGGGGCUGGGAACGCAACAAACACCCACCCAGCACUGUCUCCAAAAUGUGACGGCAGCAACGUCCAACUGUCAUGGGGGAGCCUUGACUGGCAAAACGCGAAGGCCCAAAGAGAGAUAUUAAAGACAUGAGAGGAAUUGGCAGCGUCGGCACUAACAGGGGGUACACUUGAGAAGUCGAAGCAGGGAGCUGUGGGCAUCGCCAAAGUGUCAGUCAAAGGAAAGUGGGGUUUGGAAAAGGCACAAACACAGACUGACUCACACAGGAGCACUUUUCUCUUUCACUCUCCUAAAAGACAAUAUAUUCAGAAAGGGUAGAGAAGGAAAACCAACAAGGAAAUAGUUUACUGUUAUUGUAUUUCAGACCACAAAGUAUAAAGAUAAGAAGUGUGUCAGUGAGUGUUUGUGUGUGUGUGUGUGUGUGUGUGUGUGUGUGUGUGAGUGUGUGCUCACCUUUCUCACAGGGAGGUAUAAUCCACUGGGGGUUUAAAUGCUCCACUGCUGUCAGGAGGCCUGACAGAAUACCUCAGGGAGCCUGGUAGCUGACCCCCAUCCAUAUUCAGGUCUGACAAACAAAACAGACCUGCACAGGAGGUUAACAUGGAAAAACCACCACUUAACUGGCUCUCUCUCCCAAGGCCUGAGAUCUCAUCAAUCCCUCUAACACUCACCUCACCCUGAGAGGCAAGACAAGAAACCAUUUGAUAGGAAUCAUGAAUAAUCACAGUUGUGCAAGCGCGCUGUGCCCAUUUCUUAAAUGCAUUAUGGGGAUUACACACAAAAUCACACAAUGUAACAUUUUCAAAUGUGUUAUGAAUGCUUCCCGGAAUCCAAUUCAAAUCCUAGGUUACCAAAUAAGCCUGAACAAAUCCUCCACAUUGAGUUUUUACUCCUUUGAACUCUGUAACGGAGAGGUCCAGUCUGCAGGGCAGGUUUUACCAUGCCAGGCACAGACAGACCCCUCAACCCCAGGAUAGAGAUUGGGCUAGCCUAACACUGGGAGGGUGGGGGAGAGAGAGGGCUAGCCUAACACUGGGAGGGUGGGGGAGAGAGAGGGCUUGCCUAACAGUUGGAGGAUGGGGGAGAGAGAGGACUAGCCUAACACUGGGAGGGUGGGGGAGAGAGAGGUCUAGCUUAGCACUGGGAGGGUGGGGGAGAGAGAGGUCUAGUCUAACACUGGGAGGGUGGGGGAGAGAGAGGUCUAGCUUAGCACUGGGAGGGUGGGGGUGAGAGAGGUCUAGCCUAACACUGGGAGGGUGGGGGAGAGAGAGGUCUAGCCUAACACUAGGAGGGUGGGGGAGAGAGGUCUAGCCUAACACUGGGAGGGUGGGGGAGAGAGAGGUCUAACCUAGCACUGGGAGGGUGGGGGGGAG